rnacentral:rRNA from 1 species
UACGUAGGGUCCGAGCGUUGUCCGGAAUUAUUGGGCGUAAAGGGCUCGUAGGCGGUUUGUCGCGUCGGGAGUGAAAACACGGGGCUUAACCCCGUGCCUGCUUCCGAUACGGGCAGACUAGAGGUAUGCAGGGGAGAACGGAAUUCCUGGUGUAGCGGUGAAAUGCGCAGAUAUCAGGAGGAACACCGGUGGCGAAGGCGGUUCUCUGGGCCGAUAUCGACGCUGAGGAGCGAAAGCGUGGGGAGCGAACAGG